GGUACGGUGGCUUAGUGGUCAGCACUGUUGCCUCGCACCUCCUGGGUUGUGGGUUUGAAUCCCACCUCCACCC